UACAGAGGUCUCAAGCGUUGUUCGGAUUCAUUGGGCGUAAAGGGUGCGUAGGCGGCGUGGUAAGUCGGGUGUGAAAUCUCGGAGCUUAACUCCGAAACUGCAUUCGAUACUGCGGUGCUUGAGGACUGGAGAGGAGACUGGAAUUCACGGUGUAGCAGUGAAAUGCGUAGAUAUCGUGAGGAAGACCAGUGGCGAAGGCGGGUCUCUGGACAGUUCCUGACACUGAGGCACGAAGGCCAGGGGAGCAAACGGG
rnacentral:rRNA from 1 species